UACGGAGGGUGCAAGCGUUAUCCGGAUUUAUUGGGUUUAAAGGGUCCGUAGGCGGACUGAUAAGUCAGAGGUGAAAUCCUACAGCUUAACUGUAGAACUGCCUUUGAUACUGUUAGUCUUGAAUUUUUGUGAAGUUGCUGGAAUAAGUAGUGUAGCGGUGAAAUGCAUAGAUAUUACUUAGAACACCAAUUGCGAAGGCAGGUAACUAACAAACGAUUGACGCUGAUGGACGAAAGCGUGGGGAGCAAACAGG
rnacentral:rRNA from 1 species